UGAGGAAUAUUGGUCAAUGGACGAGAGUCUGAACCAGCCAAGUAGCGUGCAGGAUGACGGCCCUAUGGGUUGUAAACUGCUUUUGUUUGGGAAUAAUCGACAUUACGUGUAAUGUUUUGCAUGUACCAUUCGAAUAAGGACCGGCUAAUUCCGUGCCAGCAGCCGCGGUAAUACGGAAGGUCCAGGCGUUAUCCGGAUUUAUUGGGUUUAAAGGGAGUGUAGGCGGUUGGUUAAGCGUGUUGUGAAAUGUAGCUGCUCAACAUCUGACUUGCAGCGAGAACUGGCUGACUGUAGUACGCACAACGUAGGCGGAAUUCAUGGUGUAGCGGUGAAAUGCUUAGAUAUCAUGAAGAACUCCGAUUGCGAAGGCAGCUUACGGGAGUGUUACUGACGCUUAAGCUCGAAGGUGCGGGUAUCGAACAGG
rnacentral:rRNA from 1 species